rnacentral:rRNA from 1 species
ACUGUGCCGNNCAGUAUGACUGUGCCGCAGUACUCUGACUAGUGCCGCAGAUANNWACUCUACGAGAAGACUGUGGCAGUACUCUGUGCCGCAGUACUCACUUGCCGCAGUACUCUGACUGUGACCGAAAUACAUCUGACUUUACCUUAUNAUAAUAAGAAUUUUUUAUAAUGAGAACAAAAAUUACUGUAGGGAUAACAGCAUAAUUAUUUAAUAGUUUGUGACCUGGAUGAUGGACUAAGGAACAUUUUAUUAAGAAGGUAAAAUAGCAUGUUCUGUUCAAACAAAUAACCCUUACAUGAUCUGAGAUCA